rnacentral:rRNA from 1 species
GAAACCCCAGGACGGGCGAGGCCACCCGCCGAAUUUAAG